rnacentral:rRNA from 1 species
UACGAAGGGGGCUAGCGUUGCUCGGAAUCACUGGGCGUAAAGCGCACGGUGGCGGCUUUUUAAGUCAGGGGUGAAAUCCUGGAGCUCAACUCCAGAACUGCCUUUGAUACUGAGAAGCUUGAGUCCGGGAGAGGUGAGUGGAACUGCGAGUGUAGAGGUGAAAUUCGUAGAUAUUCGCAAGAACACCAGUGGCGAAGGCGGCUCACUGGCCCGGUACUGACGCUGAGGUGCGAAAGCGUGGGGAGCAAACAGG